rnacentral:lncRNA from 1 species
CCGACUGACUCCACACCAGCUCCCGUGUCCCGGAACCGCCCAUGGGCUCUGACCCUCCGGCACCACUCCCUCUCCACUCAUGGACCCCAGACUCUCAUGCACACCCUGAAGACCCCGUCCCUAAACCCUGGCACAAUCAUAGUUCCUCUCACAAAUGCAAACAUCAAGUUGUUUGCUUCACUCAUGGGAGCUGCUCUCUGCACACGGGGGCUGUGAAGUGGCCUCCAGUUUCCCGUGGGACUGGGCCACGGAGGACGCAUGGAGUUCCUCCUCACUCAGUGAAGAUGCAGUUUCUGCCACCGGGUGUGGCCCCGGAACAGCCGGGCUGCACUGGGUGCUGAGGCCACUGCUGUCAAUGGGGAGAGACCUGCUUUUGCAGGUGGAUCAGAGUUCUGGACUCCUCUGUCAUUUUAUUAGGAAACAGAUUUUGCAGACACUGGGCUGCAGCUCCUGUGCUGAGAACUUUCCAGAAUGUUGGUGGCUCCUGUUCUAUGCCUCGUCCCGGAAGAUGUGGUUUCACUCCAGGUGCUCCAGAAAGGUGGUGCUCUCUACGGAAUGAAGACGGGUGGGCACAAGCGUGGGUCCGGGGCCACCCUCUGUCGUCUGCCGGUGUUUCUCAUCCAGCGGCAUCUGGGAAGGUCUGUGACUGCUGAAAACAUUCUGCGCAUGAGCGUCGGGGAAGGAAAUCCGCCCAGAGGAGGGGCAGGUGCCACCCCAGGCGACAGAGCAGCAAGCUGCAGGGAACGGAGGCAGCAGGUGCCCGGGACACACCGGGGAGGCUGUGGGACCAGCCCGUUCACCCGACAAUUCGAGAAGCACCGUGUCCCCAACACCGGGAAAGGGAAAGGCUCAGGAGCAGCCCAUUCACCCGACAGUUCCAGGAGCACGGUGUCCCCAGGGGCUGCAACGUGGGGGCCUGUGAGCGUCGGGACGGGGUGUGCCCUGCAGACCAAGGUUCUGGGUGUUCACCGCUGCACACCAGCUUUAUCCAGCGAUGGCCGACUCGCAAGGUGUUUGCUUUCUUUCCUCACACAGGCACUUUUAAAACCAGGUUGCACAUCUCCGAGUACACUGACCAGCACCCACCGGAUCUCCGAGUACACCGAACGGCACCGACCGGAUCUCCAAGUACACCGAACACCACCGACUGGAUCUCCGAGUACACCGAACACCACCAACCGGAUCUCCGAGUACACCGAACGGCACCGACCAGAUCUCCGAGUACACCGAACGGCACCGACCGGAUCUCCGAGUACACCGAACGGCACCGACCGGAUCUCCGAGUACACCGAACACCACCGACCGGAUCUCCGAGUACACCGAACACCACCGACCGGAUCUCCGAGUACACCGAACGGCACCGACCGGAUCUCCGAGUACACCGAACGGCACCGACCGGAUCUCCGAGUACACCGAACACCACCGACCGGAUCUCCGAGUACACCGACCGGCACCGACCGGAUCUCCGAGUACACCGAACACCACCGACCGGAUCUCCGAGUACACCGAACGGCACCGACCGGAUCUCCGAGUACACCGAACGGCACCGACCGGAUCUCCGAGUACACCGAACGGCACCGACCGGAUCUCCGAGUACACCGAACGGCACCGACCGGAUCUCUGAGUACACCGAACGGCACCGACCGGAUCUCCGAGUACACCGAACACCACCGACCGGACCUCCAAGUACACUGACCGGAUCUCCGAGUACACUGAAUGGCGCCGGCCAGAUCGCUGUGCUCAGCUCCCCAAAUCCACUUCAUCCCCGGAACGGUGCAACGAUAGGAGGUGUGGGUUAGGUGGGGUCUGAGUCCACCCCCCGUGUCCUGUCCACCUGGAUCCCAGUUGGUCAUUCUGGGUUCUUUAUGGCAUUCAGGGACAUUCCCGCUGCUUACAGCUGCCUCGGGUCUCAGAUAAAUGGCUCUUUCUUUCCUUUGCCUAACAGCUGUGGCUUUACCUAGCCAGCAUAUUUAUGGAGCAUCAAUCAUGAAUGUAAAAUGUGGACAGCUUUCACUGUACAUAUGGUUGUAGAAUAUUGGAGAAAAUAGAAAGUCAGCCAACAGGAAUUAAUGACAGGGCUCCACACAUGAUUUGCAGCUUUCACAAACUAUCAAUUAAGCCACAUGAUGGCUUCAUCCCUGGGCAGAGAUGAAAGCCCCGCAGGUGAGCAGGAGAGAGACGGAGCACGUGGACACCGCCCGUGAGCAGGAGCGAGACGGAGCGCCACGGGACACGUCAGGCUGGGCCACCACCCGUGAAGUCACAGUCACACUUCAGCUGGUGGUACCCACAGUGUGCAGAGGACGCCACACCCUCAGAGCCUCUUUCUGAAUCGUCCUCUCCGGGAAAUAUUUAAAACAAACUGAGCCUGGCACAGGAGGAGAGCUACAAUAGGUUAAAUUUUGGAUACAGAUCCAGCUACUACCAAAACAAAGGAAUUUUUUUCUUCAACUUCCUUAGGCAGCAUCUAAAGAAUCAAAAUCAGAUUCACCUGUUAGGCUGACAAAAAAUUUGUAAGUAAAAAUAGCCAGACACAAAGAGUGUGUGUGUGCACACGCGUGUGUGUUUGUGUGCGUGUUUCUAUACAUGUACACGUGUGUAGACUGUUGAUGGACAUUAAGCCUGUGCAGGCAGAAUUAACUGGAUAAAGUUUUAUUGAAAGCUGAACAUGGGGAUCCACUCGGGAAGAUGCCCACAGAACUAGCAUGUUCUGGGGUCGGCUACAAGGUGGAGCCUUUGUGGGAAAGUUGAGGAGAAGGGAGGGGACUCCUCACACCAGAGGCAUCCUUCUCAUGGGGGGACAGGGCGGAGGGCACAGCCAAUGCAGACAGAUCACACCCUGAGGGCUAAAAUACCUCCUUGCAAGACCAUCAGAAAGCCUCAUGAUUCCGAAACAAACCAGCAAAGCUUCGUGAUUCAGAAGCAAGUCAGCAAAAUGUCAUGACUCAGAAUCAAAUCAACAUUUCGUGGUUCAGAAACAACUCUGUGAAAUUUCAUCGUUCAGAAACAAAUCAGCAACAUUUCAUGGUUCAGAAACAAAUCAGCAACAUUUCAGCGUCAGUGGGCGCAGCACUGAUCAGUGCGUCAAGCUCAUGGUGAGAUUCUCCACUCCAACAGGACGUGCCCGUGAGUCACGGACCUCUCCAAGGCCAGUUAAUUUGGAAGCAGGUUUAUUUUUAAAGUAAACGGCCAAAUGUGACCGAAAGGUUACCAAGAACCCCGCUCUCUGUCUCUCUCUCUCUCAUACACACGCACCAUCUUACAUACUCUGUGAUUCCACUUACAAGAUUUUAUCACCCCAGGCUUGGGCCUGAGUCCCUCAACCCUCUCUGUGUUCUCCCCGAUGCCUCACGCUUGGCCGUCGGGAUUCACUGACAUUACCUAAAGAGAAGCCGCCGCUGAGCAGCCCCCUGACCCGGCGUUUUCCAGCUGGCUCCGCGCAUCUCAGCGUGAGACCCACACGGGAGGCGCCUGUGAGGACUGCAGAGGUGGACACGGGUCCCAACCGCCCCAAGGCUGCCCCAAAGCAUCUCAUGUCAUUGUUAUGUUUUAUGUAUGGGGCAUUCUGAUAGAAAUUCUGUACUGCAAAACUAUCUCCCCACUAAAACCAAACAAACAGGCAGCUUUCGGGGUCUUCGUAACGCCUCCUACCUCACCUCCUAACGCCUCUCACCUCACCUCAUGACGCCUCUCCUCACUGGGUUUCUGGUCUCCUGGGGCGACCUGCAAACCAUGGGUCCUCAGCCUCCUCCUCACUGGUGCCCGGCCCCACAGGCUCUGGGGUUAGGACAGUGCCUGCUGCCUGGUGCUGGUCUGGGAGACCCCCUGGCCAGGGGGCAGGAGCUGCACGGGAGGGCUGAGGGCCAGGAAGUGCCGUGGGGCAGGCAGUGUGGACGCUCUGGGGCAGGGAGCGUGGGUGUCAGCAGGAUGAUUUUGGACACUUUAUUUACACAGACGUCUCGAUUGUACCAUUAGAUGAGUUUGUCAAGUUCCCCUGUAAACACCACCCCAAAUAAAUAAGAUAUGAAAUAUUUCCAGCCCCUACAAUUUCCCCAUGCCCACCCACGCCAGGGCCCUCCCAGCUCUUCCCACAGCGCUGAGUCCCUGUGCAAGAAAGUCCUGCUUCUCCCGGAUCAGAUGGCACGGGAUAGCCUGGCACACAGGCAGCCUGCAGGGCUAGCACGGAUGCUUGUGUCCGAUGUUUUUGCUCCAAGUAUCUUUUGAGAUUCACCCACGAGUUUGUGGACGCCAGAGGUUCAUGCAUUUUCAUUGCCCAGUGGCCUUCCACUGUGUGGUGAGACACAAUUUCUUUAACUGUUUCCUGUGGAGGAACACUGGACAAUUACAGGUGUGGGCUGUUACUGUGAGUGACCCCAUCCAGGACUACGGACACUUCCAGGUGCGGGCCGUUACUGUGAGUGACCCCGCCCAGGGCUAUGGACAAUUCCAGGUGUGGGCUGCUACUGUGAGUGACCCCUUUCCAGAGGGGGGGGAUGGACAAUUCCAGGUGUGGGCUGUUACUGUGAGUGACCCCGCCCAGGGGGGGAUGGACAAUUCCAGGUGUGGGCUGUUACUGUGAGUGACCCCGCCCGGGGGGAUGGACAAUUCCAGGUGUGGGCUGUUACUGUGAGUGACCCCGCCCAGGGCUACAGACAGCUCCAGGUGUGGGCUGUUACUGUGAGUGACCCCGUCCAGGACUACGGACAGCUCCAGGUGUGGGCUGUUACUGUGAGUGACCCCGUCCAGGACUAUGGACAACUCCAGGUGUGGGCUGUUACUGUGAGUGACCCCGUCCAGGACUACGGACAGCUCCAGGUGUGGGCUGUUACUGUGAGUGACCCCGCCCAGGGGGAUGGACAAUUCCAGGUGUGGGCUGUUACUGUGAGUGACCCCGCCCAGGGCUAUGGACAACUCCAGGUGUGGGCUGUUACUGUGAGUGACCCCGUCCAGGACUACGGACAGCUCCAGGUGUGGGCUGUUACAGAUAAAGCCCCUGUGAGCGGCCCUGUCCAGCACGAUUUGUGGAAGACAUGUACAUUUUGCUGGGCACAGGCAGGUGUGCGUAGAGUUGUGGGGCACCUGCCACACUAUGGUCAAAAUGCCUGUGCCUGUGCACCUCCCCCCUGCUGGCGACGUGAAUAUUCCAGACGUUCCAGACCCUCCCGGCACAGGGCGGGCCCAGGCUCUUCACAUCCAGUUAUUUCAACGUCCGUCACGCAGCAUUUUCACGCAGCAUCCCGUUAUGACGUGAAGGUGAAUUUCCCGAUGGCCGAGGACACUGAGCACUUUCGAUCUGCUUGUUGGUCAUUUCUGUAUCACCUUCUGUCUAAUGUCUGUCUUGUCUGCUUUUUUUAAAAGAACUAUUUAUUGAUUUGUAAAGGACCUUUAUAUUUUGAUACACGUCUUUCAGAUUUUAUAUGUGUGCAA